GAUGAACGCUGGCGGCGUGCUUAACACAUGCAAGUCGAACGAAGCACCUUGAUUCGAUUCUUCGGAUGAAGAUCUUGGUGACUGAGUGGCGGACGGGUGAGUAACGCGUGGGUAACCUGCCUCAUACAGGGGGAUAACAGUUAGAAAUGACUGCUAAUACCGCAUAAGACCACAGCACCGCAUGGUGCAGGGGUAAAAACUCCGGUGGUAUGAGAUAGACCCGCGUCUGAUUAGGUAGUUGGUGGGGUAACGGCCUACCAAGCCGACGAUCAGUAGCCGACCUGAGAGGGUGACCGGCCACAUUGGGACUGAGACACGGCCCAAACUCCUACGGGAGGCAGCAGUGGGGAAUAUUGCACAAUGGGGGAAACCCUGAUGCAGCGACGCCGCGUGAGCGAUGAAGUAUCUCGGUAUGUAAAGCUCUAUCAGCAGGGAAGAAAAUGACGGUACCUGACUAAGAAGCACCGGCUAAAUACGUG
rnacentral:rRNA from 1 species